AGGGCGUACGGUGGAUGCCUUGGCGAUAUCAGCCGAAGAAGGACGCGGUAAGCUGCGAUAAGCUACGGAGAGGUGCAAGCAACCUGUGACCCGUAGAUAUCCGAAUGGGGGAACCCGGCAGUGGUUAUGCACUGUCACCCAUACCUUUGAGUAUGAGGAGGGCACCCGGGGAACUGAAACAUCUAAUUACCCGGAGGAACAGUAAUCAAACGAGAUUUUCUUAGUAGCGGCGAGCGAACGGGAAAGAGGCCAAACCGGAGCGGGCAACCGCACCGGGGUUGAGGACAGUCAUCAAGUGUAAAUGAGGUAGAAGAAUCGAGCUGGAAAGCUCAGCCGCAGAAGGUGAAAGCCCUGUAAUCGAAACCUUGCAUACAUGGGACUGUAUCCAGAGUACCACGAGACACGUGAAACCUUGUGGGAAGCAGGGGGGACCACCCUCCAAGCCAAAAUACUGAUAUCGACCGAUAGCGCAUAGUACCGUGAGGGAAAGGUGAAAAGAACCCCUGGCGGGGAGUGAAAGAGAACCUGAAACCGUAUGUCUACAAACAGUCGAAGUCUGUAUAUAUAUCAGGACGACGGCGUGCCUAUUGAAGAAUGAACCGACGAGUUACUGUUGCUAGCGAGGUUAAGUGGAAAACAUGGAGCCGCAGCGAAAGCGAGUCUGAACAGGGCGUUCAGUUAGUGAUAGUAGACCCGAAACCGUAGUGAUCUAUCCAUGGCCAGGUUGAAGCACAGGUAAAAUUGUGUGGAGGACCGAACUCGUGAGCGUUGAAAAGCUUUGGGAUGAGUUGUGGAUAGGGGUGAAAUGCCAAUCGAACACGGAGAUAGCUGGUUCUCCCCGAAAUAGCUUUAGGGCUAGCCUCGAGGUAGAGAGUAUAGGCGGUAGAGCACUGAUCGGGCUAGGGGCCAUACCGGUUACCGAACCUAGUCAAACUACGAAUGGCUAUACUUAUACUCGGGAGUCAGACAGUGAAUGAUAAGGUCCAUUGUCAAGAGGGAAACAGCCCAGAACACCGACUAAGGUCCCCAAUGUUACACUAAGUGGCGAAGGAUGUGGAAUUUCCAAAACAACCAGGAUGUUGGCUUAGAAGCAGCCACCAUUUAAAGAGUGCGUAAUAGCUCACUGGUCGAGAGACUCUGCGCCGAAAAUGUCCGGGGCUAAAGUGUAAAACCGAAGUCGUGUCAUAUGCAGCAAUGUAUAUGGGUAGGGGAGCGUUCUCAUCGGGCUGAAGCAGUACCGUAAGGAGUUGUGGACUGAUGAGAAGUGAGAAUGUCGGUAUGAGUAGCGAAAAGAAUGGUGAGAAUCCAUUCCACCGAAAGCCUAAGGGUUCCUGAGCAACGAUCGUCGUCUCAGGGUAAGUCGGGACCUAAGCCGAGGCGGAAAAGCGUAGGCGAUGGACAACAGGUUGAAAUUCCUGUACCGGUGUGAAUCGUUUGAUCGAUGGAGUGACACAGUAAGGUAGGUCAGCACGCGAUUGGAAGAGCGUGUUUAAGCAGGUAGGUUGAGUGAUAGGCAAAUCCGUCACUCUAAAAGCUGAGAUGUGAUGACGAGUGACUAGCAAUAGUCGCGAAGUGAUUGAUCCUACACUGUCGAGAAAAGCUUCUAGGUAGAGACACAUCGCCCGUACCAAAACCGACACAGGUAGGCGGGGAGAGAAUCCUAAGGUGCGCGGGAAAACCCUCGUUAAGGAACUCGGCAAAAUGCCUCCGUAACUUCGGGAAAAGGAGGACUCAUGUAGUGUGAAGAGCAGCAACGCUUGGAGCAUGAAUGAGUGGCACAAGAGAGGCGCAAGCGACUGUUUACCACAAACACAGGUGCCUGCUAAAGCGAAAGCUGAUGUAUAGGUGCUGACACCUGCCCGGUGCUGGAAGGUUAAGAGGAGGGGUUAGACUUCGGUCGAAGCUCUGAAUUGAAGCCCCAGUAAACGGCGGCCGUAACUAUAACGGUCCUAAGGUAGCGAAAUUCCUUGUCGGGUAAGUUCCGACCCGCACGAAAGGCGUAACGAUUUGGGCACUGUCUCAACGAGGGACCCGGUGAAAUUGAAAUACCUGUGAAGAUGCAGGUUACCCGCGACUGGACAGAAAGACCCCAUGGAGCUUUACUGCAACCUAAGAUUGAACUUAGUUAAUGAAUGUACAGGAUAGGUGGGAG
rnacentral:rRNA from 1 species